ACUCCGUGCCAGCAGCCGCGGUAAUACGGAGGGUGCAAGCGUUAAUCGGAAUUACUGGGCGUAAAGCGCGCGUAGGCGGUUUGUUAAGUCGGAUGUGAAAGCCCCGGGCUCAACCUGGGAACUGCAUUCGAUACUGGCCGACUAGAGUACGAGAGAGGGAGGUAGAAUUCCACGUGUAGCGGUGAAAUGCGUAGAUAUCAGGAGGAA
rnacentral:rRNA from 1 species